CACAUGCAAGUCGAGGGGCAGCAUCAUCAAAGCUUGCUUUGAUGGAUGGCGACCGGCGCACGGGUGAGUAACACGUAUCCAACCUGCCGACAACACUGGGAUAGCCUUUCGAAAGAAAGAUUAAUACCGGAUGGCAUAAUUAUUCCGCAUGGGAUAAUUAUUAAAGAAUUUCGGUUGUCGAUGGGGAUGCGUUCCAUUAGGCAGUUGGCGGGGUAACGGCCCACCAAACCUACGAUGGAUAGGGGUUCUGAGAGGAAGGUCCCCCACAUUGGAACUGAGACACGGUCCAAACUCCUACGGGAGGCAGCAGUGAGGAAUAUUGGUCAAUGGACGAGAGUCUGAACCAGCCAAGUAGCGUGAAGGAUGACUGCCCUAUGGGUUGUAAACUUCUUUUAUACGGGAAUAAAGUUAGCCACGUGUGGCUUUUUGUAUGUACCGUAUGAAUAAGGAUCGGCUAACUCCGUGCCAGCAGCCGCGGUAAUACGGAGGAUCCGAGCGUUAUCCGGAUUUAUUGGGUUUAAAGGGAGCGUAGGCGGGUUGUUAAGUCAGUUGUGAAAGUUUGCGGCUCAUCCGUAAAAUUGCAGUUGAUACUGGCGACCUUGAGUGCAACAGAGGUAGGCGGAAUUCGUGGUGUAGCGGUGAAAUGCUUAGAUAUCACGAAGAACUCCGAUUGCGAAGGCAGCUUACUGGAUUGUAACUGACGCUGAUGCUCGAAAGUGUGGGUAUCAAACAGGAUUAGAUACCCUGGUAGUCCACACAGUAAACGAUGAAUACUCGCUGUUGGCGAUAUACGGUCAGCGGCCAAGCGAAAGCAUUAAGUAUUCCACCUGGGGAGUACGCCGGCAACGGUGAAACUCAAAGGAAUUGACGGGGGCCCGCACAAGCGGAGGAACAUGUGGUUUAAUUCGAUGAUACGCGAGGAACCUUACCCGG
rnacentral:rRNA from 1 species